GACUAAAUCGAAAAUUAAAUGGUAAUCGAAGAAGUAGCAUAUCAAUUUCCACAGAUUAUGGAGUCCAUGUUUAAAUGGUGGGUUAAGCUUGGUCCUUGAACAAAACUAAUGUUUGGCUGGCAACUAUGAUUAGUUUUGUUCAAGGACCAUCUUUUUGAACAUGACAUUCUUCUUCCCUGGAAGAAAGGAAGCACAGUUUUUCUCUGGUCUUCUUCUUCUUCUUCAAAAAAAAAAAAUUUCCAGAAUCCCAGAGAGAACCUAUACCGAAAAAGAUUUUGUUGUUUUUAGAUAAAAAUUAAUUUACCAUAAAAAUCAAAACCCAUCUUUGAUUGCACUCAUAAAGUCUCAAACUUUCUUUCAAUCCUCAAGAUCCAAACAAAAACCCUCCAUUUAAAUGUCACUAAACCACAAGCAGGUUAUGGCACCAUCCCCACCACCGUCAGCACAACCACAACAACCACCACACAACCCCUACGAUAACCAACGACCCUGACAUUCAUCUCACGCGCCACCACCACAACUCAAACCCUCAUUGCAACGCGCCGUCCUUGGCAAGGAUACCUUGGCUUCCUGUAAUAUAUACAGAAAUAUUGAUGAUUGGCAUCAAGAACUUAAAUAGGAAAAAAAAAAAAACAUCUCUUGCAGAAGUUUAAAGAAGGUUAGCUGGGAAUCUUGAUGAGAUGAGGGGAGGAGCUCAAAUUCUAGCGGAAGCAUUCCACACACCAAAGGCCCUCUUUGAUGACAUUUUCAUCGAAUUCUUCAAGGAGGGUUUUCCAUUGAUUACCUGCUGCAUGUUUUGAUUUUGAGAAAGCUUCCAAGUAGACAGACAGACAGACAGACCGACCGACCAAGGUUUGAUGCGCUCACUUCAAUCUCUCAGCAACUGCAAACAACACGCUGAAGAGUUUCCAGCAUUAAAGAUUGUCUAUCAUUAAUGGUUCUUGAGUAGAUUAUAAUUAGUCUCUUUAUGUUUACAAAAGUUACAAUCUAGUACUUUUAGUUUUGCAAAUAACGAGUUAGUCCCUUGACCACAGUCUUACAUUCAAUUCUUCUUUAAAUGUCUGAAUUACCCUUGUUAAAUGGGAUUUUGUCUUGUUUUUAGUUGGGAGAUUGGAUAAUUUCCAAAGGAAAUAGAGGACACUUUAGGGAAGAAUAAUUAACUUAUCGUUGAAAGAUAGUGAAAGGAUUAGGUUGCAGAUGAAUAUAAAAUUAUAGGAAUUUAAGAUUAGGGUUUUAAAUUAAAGGAAUUUACUAAUUAUUUUGCUAAAAAAGGACAUUGUAUGAUAGUUUACUUUUAAUUCAUCGGCUUGUUUUGAGUUCAUUUUUUCUUUUCUCUUGAAAUUCUUUAGUUGGUUUUUGUAUACUGAAAUUAAGUCCUUUUCGCAUGAAGAUUUACAUACAUUAUUCAUCCUCUACUAUUUGACGAAAUCCAUAAUUAAAUUUGGUAGAGAAUCACUCUGCUUUUGAUUAAGAUGAUGCUACUUGGUACGAACAAGAGAUUUAACGACAGGAGUUGCAAGUCCGAAAUUCAUUAAAGAUUUUUCCAGUGAUUGAGGAUCUUCAAUCCAGAGGUCUGAACCAGUCCACGAUCUAAUAAUCUUGUAACUCCAGCAUAUGGAGCUAGAUUAAGCUUCGAUUUUAUAUGGCCGGCUUAAAUUUGAAGAGUGAAAUAAGAAAUCAUCAUUUCAUGUCUGUUCAAGAGAUCGUGCCGCCAUGAGCAAGCCUGCAUUUAGCAGACAGUGUUCAGGAGUUAAAAUGACAUUGGCCAGUUCGGAAAGAGGAAACGUUUUACAAGUCUCCUAACAGCUUCAGCAACUUCUCACUCUCACAAACAUGCAUUCUCCUCUCAAUUUGAAGCUUUCAACAGCAAAUUAGUAACUUGGUAAAUUCAAAUAGCGAUAUGAUCAUUAGAAACUUAAAUUCUGGAUAAAUAGGAGACAGUGUUGACAGAGAAUACAAACGUAAGUGAUGUGGCUCUCUAUUAUAAUAAAUGAAAUAUAAAUAUAUUCAUACAUGUAAUCACAUGCAUGAAACAAAGCAGCAUGCAUGUGAUGAUUUGAUUUAAAGAUCACAGAAAGGUUACAGAUGUUGAAAAUCCAACAACAUAAAUAUUUCAUAACUGAAGAUGUAAAUAAUCAUCGAGAUGAAAGGCAGGUUAAAGGUAUAUUUUAAGACUCUUGGACUUUCCGACAAUAUGACAAUACCAUCACGAAGUCCUUAGCUGACGAACCCACAGAGGCUGGUACUUUUUUUGAUGUCGAACCGGUUCGAAACCACAAGUCUACUAAGUUCUGUAAUGGCAAAGUUGGCCCGACGGGCUGACCCCGGCAAAGUAUUUCCACCUACAAAAUUAAAAAGAAGAAGAAGAAAGAAGCAGCAGCAGCAGCAGCUAGUGUUCAUUCCAUUAUAAGCACACAAAUUAAAAGUUCUGAUGCCAUUUCUAAAAAUCAUGACUUGAAGUAUUAGGAAUGUUCACGAACAAUUUUAUCAAAUAUGCAACAACAAUUUUAGGAAACAAUGAACUGUCAAGAAAAAGUGGGGACCACAUAUCCAAGCUUCCUAGCAAAGCCCCUUACAUAGUUCAGAUUUUUUUUCCCCACAAGAACAUCAAGCAACUAUGCCAGUAUUUAUUAAAAGUUAUGUAGAUUUGAUUUUUAUUCAACAAGCAGAGUAAGUGCUUUCAUAGUGUCACGAGAAAACAGAAGUGAUACAAGAAAAUAUGAAAUAUGAAAGCAUUGACUAAGUUGAUAUAGAAUGCACUACAACACUCCAUCUUGUUAGCCGGAAAUUAUCUAAAAAUUUAAAACUACUUGUUUUGCAUCUGGCUAAGAACAUCUAUGCUCAAAGAAAAAUAUAAUGCUGUAUGACAUCCAUAGCCCUGGAUACUUGAUAUCAUUGUUUAUCACUCAUCGGUACAUGUAUCUCCCUUCAUUCCAGUACAACUACAUGUUACUCAAAAGAUAGAGUUGAAUGUACAUUGAUUGAAGAUAGAGUACAUUUUCUCAUAUGAUUUAAGAUUCCCUGGCAGAUCUUGGUAUGACAAUAUGAAGCCUUAUUGACACUUGACAAAAGGUGCUGUCAUUUUGAUUCUUGAAGUUUUAGGAAUUAUUCAAAUCAUUCCAACUAAACUUCCUAGGGUUAAAUGAGUUGGUAUCCUCAGGCACAAAAGAAGUAAGGAAACAUGCCCCCCUCGGGAUCUUUCCAUAAAAAAAUUAAUUUCAAGUUACAACCAACAGUAGUUACAAGCUCGAUAUCUGUUCCUGACCUUUUACAAGCAAUAAUAAAGAGCCAGCAAACGACAAUAGAGCUGACAAACGAAAAUCACAGCAAUUUAACGAGUAAACCAACAAGGAAAUUAUAUUUUGAGGAAGGCAAGAGAGAUGAACACACCUCAGUCUCACUAUCGAGAUCAAGUUUCUUUACAAGGUACUUCUGAAUGAAAGACACAGGCAUUUUGCCAUCCCUGUGAUGAGAAAAUCAAGAACAAUAAAGCAAGGGGUAAAUGAGGACGAGUUCCAAGUUAAUUGAUGGCUUCAUCAUAAAAGACCAUGAUUUGAGCAAACUCAUAGGUAUAACCAUCAAGUGAAUACACCAAAACUAAGUCGAUCAAUGAGAGCAACAAUUUGAUUUUCAAUUACUAAAAGCAAAGUAAGACCAAACAGAUUCUAGAGUACAAAACAAUAAAAUCCGCACAUUUACUGAAAUAACCAACACAUGAAAAGCCUAACAUUUCUCUAUUAUAGCAGAUGGAUAUAAUAUGUAAAACGUUUAUCCACAUUUUGGGGAAACAAAUGCUUGGACCAUAAUAUUAUAUCAUCUUAUGUAAAAACCGUAAUCUUUGUUUCUGUUUGACAUCUUCUUACAAAAAACAAAGACCCAUUUUCUUAACCUGUCAAAAGAGAUUAUGAGAAAGCAUGGUGGCCCACUUCAAAUUUACCCUUUCAAAAACUGAAGUAGUUUUCAAAUACACAAAUGCAGAGAAAAAUAAUAUAUACAUAUUCAGAAGAAAAAAACAAAAUGGAACAUAGUUUUGAGGGUAAUAAGACUAAAGAAACUCACUUAAUCCUCAAGUAGCAUGUGGAUAUCUGCGGCAAGGAAGCAUCUUCUUUCCUGGAGACAAUUUCCACAACAUUAGCAACAAAUAUUGAAGUAAAGUAGACAAAGUAAUAUAAAAUAGAGACAGCCUGGGAAGCAUCUUACUGGUCUUCAGAGGCAACCAAUGAGAACCAUAUUGGACCAUUUCUUCUAUUGCUCUUAGCUCCUGCAGCAUCUAUCAUUGCUUGAGCUGAGGCACUCAACCCCUCAGACAGAGCUGCCCUUUUUCGUGCUGCAGUUAACCUUCUCCGCUUCACUGAUAUGGGAAGUGAAUUUUUCCCAUUCUUGUCAUCUUGGACUCCUAUUCCCUGUCCAUGCUCCUUAUUUUUUGUUUUAGACAUAUAUACUUCAUUGUGAUGACCACCGGGUGAUUCUGCUCGGGAUUUUGUUUCAUACAGAUGAGGUUCACAAUCAGGAUCAUCAAGCAUGCCAGAUUUGACUAAAGACAGCCCUUGUGAAUGCGAUUUGGAGGACUUGGUUCUGUUCGCAGCUUCAACAAGACAAUUCAAGGGGGUCCAUAGAUCAGCCUUCCCUUCAAUUAUUUCAACAUCAUCAUCCUCGUCAUCAUCAUUACGUCU